AGGGUGGGAAGUCUUGGGAAAAGCCUACAA
rnacentral:piRNA from 1 species